AAUAACGAAGCGGUAUUUGCUUAUAAAAAGGAUUCGAUCUAUAAUCGAUCGAAGUAAAG
rnacentral:tRNA from 1 species